GCACUGUUAAUUUGCUGUGUAAACUGCUAUAUGUUCCUCGUCGGCUUGCCGACUAUGGCGAUAAACGGGCUUCGCAAUAAACCCAUCGGACCCGGGGGCAGUACCCGGCGCCUCCACCAAUUCUUUCAUGUUUCGGGGGCGAACCAGGAUCGACGAGGGCGUAAAGGAUGUUUCCGUCGCUCGGCAUGGUACCAUCGUUAUCGGGCCAUUUUUAUAGUUGCAAAUGACAACUAUGCGGAAGUAGCUGUCGCUGCGUAAGCAGUCACACGACUUCAUUUCAAGUCCACCGCCUUCGCCGGCGGCGGCGGGGUUCGGAAGGCACCUGGCAACAGAAGCCUUCCACU
rnacentral:tmRNA from 1 species